rnacentral:rRNA from 1 species
UACAGAGGUCUCAAGCGUUGUUCGGAUUCAUUGGGCGUAAAGGGUGCGUAGGCGGCGCGGUAAGUCGGGUGUGAAAUCUCGGAGCUUAACUCCGAAACUGCAUUCGAUACUGCCGUGCUUGAGGACUGGAGAGGAGACUGGAAUUUACGGUGUAGCGGUGAAAUGCGUAGAUAUCGUAAGGAAGACCAGUGGCGAAGGCGGGUCUCUGGACAGUUCCUGACGCUGAGGCACGAAGGUCAGGGAAGCAAACGGG